AUUGAACGCUGGCGGCAUGCCUUACACAUGCAAGUCGAACGGUAACAGGUCUUCGGAUGCUGACGAGUGGCGAACGGGUGAGUAAUACAUCGGAACGUGCCUAGUAGUGGGGGGUAACUACUCGAAAGAGUGGCUAAUACCGCAUGAGAUCUACGGAUGAAAGCAGGGGAUCGCAAGACCUUGUGCUACUAGAGCGGCCGAUGGCAGAUUAGGUAGUUGGUGGGAUAAAAGCUUACCAAGCCGACGAUCUGUAGCUGGUCUGAGAGGACGAUCAGCCACACUGGGACUGAGACACGGCCCCGACGCCUACGGGAGGCAGCAGUGGGGAAUUGUGGACAAUGGGCGCAAGCCUGAUCCAGCAAUGCCGCGUGCAGGAUGAAGGCCUUCGGGUUGUAAACUGCUUUUGUACGGAACGAAAAGCCCUGGGUUAAUACCCUGGGGUCAUGACGGUACCGCAAGAAUAAGCACCGGCUAACUACGUGCCAGCCGCCGCCGUAAUAC
rnacentral:rRNA from 1 species